rnacentral:rRNA from 1 species
CCUACGGGAGGCAGCAGUGAGGAAUAUUGGUCAAUGGACGCAAGUCUGAACCAGCCAUGCCGCGUGCAGGAAGACGGCUCUAUGAGUUGUAAACUGCUUUUGUACGAGGGUAAACGCAGAUACGCGUAUCUGUCUGAAAGUAUCGUACGAAUAAGGAUCGGCUAACUCCGUGCCAGCAGCCGCGGUAAUACGGAGGAUUCAAGCGUUAUCCGGAUUUAUUGGGUUUAAAGGGUGCGUAGGCGGUCGGAUAAGUUAGAGGUGAAAUCCCGAGGCGCAACUUCGGAAUUGCCGCUGAUACUGUUCGGCGAGAGAGUAGUUGCGGUAGGCGGAAUGUAGGGUGUAGCGGUGAAAUGCUUAGAGAUCAUACAGAACACCGAUUGCGAAGGCAGCUUACCAAGCUACUUCUGACGUUGAGGCACGAAAGCGUGGGGAGCAAACAGGAUUAGAUACCCUUGUAGUC